UACGAAGGGGGCAAGCGUUGUUCGGAAUGACUGGGCGUAAAGGGCGCGUAGGCGGUUCGUUGCGUCAGAUGUGAAAGCCCCGGGCUCAACCUGGGAACUGCAUUUGAUACGGGCGAGCUUGAAUCCAAGAGAGGGUGGUGGAAUUCCCAGUGUAGAGGUGAAAUUCGUAGAUAUUGGGAAGAACACCAGAGGCGGAGGCGGCAACCUGGACAAGCACUGACACUCAACUGCGAAAGCGUGGGGAGCAAACAGG
rnacentral:rRNA from 1 species